rnacentral:ncRNA from 1 species
GUGAAAAGCAAAGCUGUCGUGAGGCAGUGACGCAAAGCUAUAGGGUCUUUUUUGAAAGACAGCCAGUUGCCAU